AUACCUUUCUCGGCCUUUUGGCUAAGAUCAAGUGUAGUAUCUAUUCUUAUCAGUUUAAUAUCUGAUAUGUGGGUCAUGUGCCCACAAUGAUGUUAAAUUUAUUUUUUAUAGGGAGAAUCUAUUAUGUAGCUUGCUAUUAAGGUUCAUUUGUCGCCCUAGCGUUGCACUAUUGCUUGGGCUUGGCACAACCCUA
rfam:Zea mays cultivar B73 chromosome 9, whole genome shotgun sequence.